GAUGAACGCUGGCGGCGUGCCUAAUACAUGCAAGUCGGGCGAACGGACGAGAAGCUUGCUUCUCUGAUGUUAGCGGCGGACGGGUGAGUAACACGUGGAUAACCUACCUAUAAGACUGGGAUAACUUCGGGAAACCGGAGCUAAUACCGGAUAAUAUUUUGAACCGCAUGGUUCAAAAGUGAAAGACGGUCUUGCUGUCACUUAUAGAUGGAUCCGCGCUGCAUUAGCUAGUUGGUAAGGUAACGGCUUACCAAGGCAACGAUGCAUAGCCGACCUGAGAGGGUGAUAGGCCACACUGGAACUGAGACACGGUCCAGACUCCUACGGGAGGCAGCAGUAGGGAAUCUUCCGCAAUGGGCGAAAGCCUGACGGAGCAACGCCGCGUGAGUGAUGAAGGUCUUCGGAUCGUAAAACUCUGUUAUUAGGGAAGAACAUAUGUGUAAGUAACUGUGCACAUCUUGACGGUACCUAAUCAGAAAGCCGCGGCUAACUACGUG
rnacentral:rRNA from 1 species